rnacentral:rRNA from 1 species
UACACUCCUGCGGGAGGCAGCAGUGGGGAAUUUUGGACAAUGGGCGAAAGCCUGAUCCAGCAAUGCCGCGUGAGUGAAGAAGGCCUUCGGGUUGUAAAGCUCUUUUGUCAGGGAAGAAACGGUGAAAGCUAAUAUCUUUUGCUAAUGACGGUACCUGAAGAAUAAGCACCGGCUAACUACGUGCCAGCAGCCGCGGUAAUACGUAGGGUGCAAGCGUUAAUCGGAAUUACUGGGCGUAAAGCGUGCGCAGGCGGUUUUGUAAGUCUGAUGUGAAAUCCCCGGGCUCAACCUGGGAAUUGCAUUGGAGACUGCAAGGCUAGAAUCUGGCAGAGGGGGGUAGAAUUCCACGUGUAGCAGUGAAAUGCGUAGAUAUGUGGAGGAACACCGAUGGCGAAGGCAGCCCCCUGGGUCAAGAUUGACGCUCAUGCACGAAAGCGUGGGGAGCAAACAGGAUUAGAUACCCUUGUAGUCCCAUGA